rnacentral:lncRNA from 1 species
AAUCAGGGUCAUACAAGACCUUGCAAAUUCCACUCCGAAAGGCAGUAAGGCAUGGAACAUGAUUUUCAGAAAGGCAAGAGAGCUGGGUCUUUAACCAAGAAUCAGCUACCCAUCAAAACUGACUAUAUACUUCCAGGGAAAGUAUGGGCAUUCAAGAAAACAGAAGAUUUCCAAGUUUUUUAAAAGAAAAGACCAGAGCUCUGUGGAAAGUUCGACAUCCAAACACAAAGAGCAAGGAAAACUUGAAAAGGACAAGAUAUACACAAAAGAGCAAUUGCACAGUGCCAAGAAGAACAAAGCUAAACUGCAUAGUGCCAAUUGAGCACAAGGUCAAAGAGACCAACCAGUCCUGGUGAAAUUGAUGUAAUUUUGAGUCUAGACACAGAGGACUUGAACGUGUUUGGGGUUCGAGGUUGUGGCUGUUUAACAUGUGUUAAAGGCAGGUCUUCCUUGUUCCACAUUCUAACAAGUAUCUCAAACUUGGCUCCUAUAAUCUGGUCCCUUUUCUGUCUUUCAUAAUGUGGUACCUUUCUGUAGUCCUGGCUACUGACUGGAUAAAUGCGUCAUUGCUUAGAUCAUUUUGAUUGGGUCCUGAUUCAAGGAUCUUUUAUACAUUUUUCUUUUACUUGGAGUUUUUACACAUAAGACUUCUAUACUCCAUAUUUUCAUCCAGUAUUUUCUUUUCUUUUAGAUUUUUCUGAUAUCUUUUUAAUUUCUCUUGCCAAUUAUUUCAUGUACCUCAAACAUCAGCCAUGCAUCCCUAAGUGAUCCUGUUUUUUUCUAUCACCCUCUUAACGGGAGAAUGUAAAAAAAAUCAUUAUUUUAAAUGGCAAAGUUUAAAUUCCUUUUUAGAAGAAUUUUAGGUAAAGAAAGAUGGUACCUCUGAAUCCAGAAAGGGAAAUUUUGGAGAAGACACGAUGAAGAUGCCUCCAGAUCACAAGCUGCACCAAAAAAAAAAAAAACCCAAAUUGAAGUUUGGGUGUGGUUGAUUGAAUAUUUAUUUGUAUGUAUACUUUCAUGCCAAAGGGGACUGCGCCCUAACUGGCUUUUUAUCAAUGCGUCCAGCAAUUAUUGGUUUUGUUUUUUUUGUUUUUUUCUCUUAUCCUCAAAUUAUUGUAAUUUUUAAAUUGAUUAUGUUUUUAUGAUCCUUUGGGGAAGUCCUUCUUCCCAGAGGAUCAAAAGGAGGUAUGUAAAAAUGGAGACCUGAAUACAGGACUUCAAUGCCCAGAAGUCCCUGCUCCACUUCCCCAGAAUGCUUUGUAAUAUCACUGAAUUCUCACCUGGGCCGAGAUCGAGAUGGGGUAUUUAACCUGAUUGGAAAGGCUUUUGGCUCUUCUCUUCCUAUCUCCUCUAGCA